rnacentral:misc_RNA from 1 species
GAUGAAGAACGUAGCGAAAUGCGAUAAGUAGUGUGAAUUGCAGAAUUCAGUGAAUCUUCGAAUCUUUGAACGCACAUUGCGCCCCUUGGUAUUCCAUGGGGCAUGCCUGUUCGAGCGUCAUUUGUACCUUCAAGCUUUGCUUGGUGUUGGGUGUUUGUCCAUUCUCUUGCAGAGGGACUCGCCUUAAAGUAAUUGGCAGCCAGUGUUUUGGUUUUGAAGCGCAGCACAAGUCGCGAUUCAACGCUAUACGCCAGCUUCCACAAGCCUUUUUCACUUUUGACCUCGGAUCAGGUAGGGAUACCCGCUGAACUUAAGCAUAUCAAUAAGCGGAGGA